UUAUCGGCCGAGGGCGAUAACUCUAGGAGUUGGAAGGGGGGUGUUGCGAUUCUGUCUUCUCACUCAGGUUCGGGGAGUUGAGUGUCGCGAUUUCGGUU